UCAGUGCCCACGUGCUUGUUCCUCUUUCCUGAGCCCCUGGCUGGGAGGGGCGCCACGCACCUUCCGCAGUUGCCGGGCACGUGAUCCGGGCCUGCAGCUUUAAGAACGGGGUCCUGGCAUUCACUGAAGCCACCCUCACGACGUGGACAAGGGGCUUAACCUCCUGCAGAGAAGUGGCAUGUGGAAGAUGCUUCUGGCAACACAGGCGCAGGUGGGCAGCGGAACGCAGCCGCGGGACAUGGCAGGGCGGACGCACAGCUCCUGAGCCGGGAGACACGCGCCACGGGGCUGCUGCUCGGAAUUCGUCUUCACUGUCACAGGGUGUGAGCCUGCUGUCUAAGGAAGGGUCAGAGAGGCGCAGCAACUUGUCCGGAGUCCCACAGCUCCAAGAGUGAGGCGGCGUUUGGACCUGACCUUGCCAGGCUGCAGCCCGUCUCGGCCCCCUGACCCCUGGCUGCCUGAGAGGCUCAUCCCCUCAUGGUGCAAAAUGGCUGCUGUCGAGCCAGGCAUCCUGUCACAAUACCCAAUGGGAGCAGAGUGAAUAUCCUUUCCUCACGGCCGUGUGUAAGGACGAGGAAAGUUCCCCGAAGCUGCCAGCACACUCCCCUGCUCGCUAGCACUCUUCACUUGACCCUCCUGGGCCAGUUGUGAACGACGGGGGUCGGGAGUCCCAGGCUUGGCCUAACUAAGCCAUGUCCACUCGGAGGUGGGGGUGGGACCAAGCCACCACCUUCACAGACCCAAGGCUGUCGCUAGGGGAGGGGAUCCCUAACCGGGCAAAACCGCAGGGCGGCCCUGGAGCCGUGGAAGCCGCAGCUGCAGCUGGCGUAGCCCCGUGGGGGCAGGAGGCCAAGAGCCGCUGGCAUGGGGGGCGGACGACAUGAGACUGAUUUUGCUCUGAAGCUGCAUGUUGGAAGAUGGUGUUUGACGCUGUUUUACGUCCCUCCAUUAAGGGUCUUUCUGAUGACAAAAGACCCACUUGUUAGGGCGGGGGCACGGCUGUGUGUCCGACCCCCCGAGGAAGGGCCCAGCCUGGGGAGCUCCGUGCCCAGCGGCCCACUGUCAGCCCCUGCGGGCCAGCCACAGCCGCAGAGCCACCCCCUCAGGGUCAGCACGGUCCUGUCCCCUCGUCGGGGACCCAGAGGUCGGCACCAGGGCGAUUUUGACGCGAGGGGACACCCUGCGCUGGCCGGAGACACUUUCAGUCAUCAAGAUUGGGGGGCGCGCGAGGCUGGCAUCGCGUGGGUGGAGGCCAGGGACACGCUGGCAUCCUACAGAGCACAGGACGGCCCCAACCAAGGACAGUCUGGCCCCAAAUGUCCACACGUCCAGGUGGAGAAACCCGGGACACUGAUGAGGGCGGGUGUGAGACCCCACACUCGGCCGGGACGCCCUGAGAGGCCGCUGCACCCCAGACCCUGGGGGGCCAGUAGGCUGCCCUCCCCCCGCCCCUCCUGAUUCCCUCUCCUCCAUUCCAGGACUUGGGCCCUCGGGGACACCCUCGCAGACCUGGGACAGGCCCUCCUCCCGCCCACCUCCCUCCGAGCCCGCACCCCGGAGUGCGAACAGAGACAGCCAUUCUCAAGAAGAUUCCGGCAGCGCGAAACCAGCUCUCCGCUCGGCCUUGAAGCUCUGCUCGUCCCUGACCCCUGCUCGUCACCAGUGCACGUCCCCCCCAAUUGUUUCCAGGCUGCUGGCGGUACCCGUUGCUCGGCUGGCCAGCUCCCAGGCUCCCUGUUUCUGGUCACCACACCGGUUUCCCCCGGGGACCCCCCUCCCCCGUUACCCCCGGGCCCUGAGGUUUGCCAGGAGGCGCCUCCCCCCUUCCUUCCUCUGCACAUGGGCAGGUGACCCGGCCUGCCUAUCAGUACGGUCCCACCCCCGACUUCAGCGAUUUGUCCAGAGGUGGGCACGUGACCCAAGCAAGGUCAGGGAGGGUCAGCCUGAGGAAUUUGCUGGAAGUACUGAGAAAGAAGAAUGCUUUCUGCUCUUAUGGCUCAGCGGGUGGAACCGGAACCUGGAGCUGCCUGGGGCCUCACGUGGAGAGAGCCUGCUUAAGGAUGAGGCGAACAGAGGCAAGCCACGCGGAGAGACGGGGGCAGGGGGCCAGAGAUGGCAUCAUGACAGUGCUGGGCCCUGGAUCAAGCCUCGCCUGAAGAUACACUGCUGGUUUUUUCAUUGUUAGCUAGACCAAUAAUUUCCAUGUUUUUGCAAUUGAGCCACUGUUGUGAGUUGAGUGGUGUCCCUUCUCCAAAAAAGAUGGGAAGUCCUAACCCCCAGGGUCUCAGAAGGUGACCUUCUGUGGAAACAGGUCUUUACAGAGGUGACAGAGUUAAGAUGACGUUUCUAGGGUGGGUCCUAAUCACAAUGAGUGGAGUCUCUAGAAAAAAGGGAAAUUCAGACACAGAGACACACGCAGAGGGAAGGUGAUGGAAAGACACAGAGGGACCACACUGUGUGACUGGAGUGAUGUGUCUACAAGCCAGGGAGUGCCUGGCCGGCUGCAGGAAGGGCCGAGCCCUCAGGGAGUGCGGCCGCCACACCCGCAUUUCAGGCCGCAGAGAGAAUGAACCUCUGUUGCUGUAAGCCGCCUGGUUCUGGGUGCCGUGUUGGCAGCCGAGGAGACGCAGCCGCUGUGGUCGGGCUGUCAGGUUCAAGGAAGGAUCCCGAACAGCAGGUGUCACAGCAGCGUCCAGGUAGUUUUUUACAAAAAUGGUAGGUUUCGCAUUUGAAAUGACAGAAUGUCACAUUUUACGUGGUACCCACACUACUUAUGCUGACUCCCCCUCCCCCACGCUCUUCCCACUCCACGUCCCUUGUGCUGGGCGACCCCGGCAGGCUGCAUCCCGCUCCGUGUCAUCAUCCAGGCCCCAUGGUUGGGCCAAACGUGCUCUGUGUCGUCUUGUAAAGGAGGGUUCCCAUGGUGACGUCCCAGUGGGCCAUGGGGACCACUGAUGUAUAAGAGAUGAUUUUAAGUAGAACACCAACUGUAUAUUUUGCUUUAAUAAUUAAUAUUUUAUCUUAAUGUGC